UCGGAUAUGGUGUAACGGCUAACAUUACCGCCUUUCAUCAGGUUCUAUGCAAAAUACAUUCGCGGUAGCUCGGGGUUCGAUUCCCCGUAUCCGAA